rnacentral:rRNA from 1 species
UACGUAGGGUGCAAGCGUUAAUCGGAAUUACUGGGCGUAAAGCGUGCGCAGGCGGUCUGCUAAGACAGGUGUGAAAUCCCCGGGCUUAACCUGGGAACUGCGCUUGUAACUGGCAAGCUAGAGUGUGGCAGAGGGGGGUGGAAUUCCAGGUGUAGCAGUGAAAUACGUAGAGAUCUGGAGGAACACCGAUGGCGAAGGCAGCCCCCUGGGCUAACACUGACGCUCAUGCACGAAAGCGUGGGGAGCAAACAGG